ensembl:Mt_tRNA
UAGGGUGUAGUACAUAGGUAGUACGUAGAAUUUUGAAUUCUGAAAUGUAGGUUCAAUUCCUAUCGCUCUAG